rnacentral:rRNA from 1 species
UACGUAGGGUGCGAGCGUUAAUCGGAAUUACUGGGCGUAAAGCGUGCGCAGGCGGUUCGUUGUGUCGGUGGUGAAAUCCCCGGGCUUAACCUGGGAAUGGCCAUGGAAACUGGCGAACUGGAGUGCGGCAGAGGCGAGUGGAAUUCCUGGUGUAGCGGUGAAAUGCGCAGAUAUCAGGAGGAACACCAAUUGCGAAGGCAGCUCGCUGGGACGUUACUGACGCUGAGACGCGAAAGCGUGGGGAGCAAACAGG